CUUAGUGCAAGUUAACUUAAGCCGUCACGUCCUGUGACAACGGUUAACUGACCUACAUUAUGCAGG
rnacentral:sRNA from 1 species